rnacentral:tRNA from 1 species
GGCUGGGUAGCUCAGUUGGUACGAGCGUCCGACUGAAAAUCGGAAGGUCGCCGGUUCGACCCCGGCCCCAGCCACAA